rnacentral:rRNA from 1 species
UACGAAGGGGGCUAGCGUUGCUCGGAAUCACUGGGCGUAAAGGGCGCGUAGGCGGCCGAUUAAGUCGGGGGUGAAAGCCUGUGGCUCAACCACAGAAUUGCCUUCGAUACUGGUUGGCUUGAGACCGGAAGAGGACAGCGGGACUGCGAGUGUAGAGGUGAAAUUCGUAGAUAUUCGCAAGAACACCAGUGGCGAAGGCGGCUGUCUGGUCCGGUUCUGACGCUGAGGCGCGAAAGCGUGGGGAGCAAACAGG